AUUGCUUCUCGGCCUUUUGGCUAAGAUCAAGUGUAGUAUAAGUCUUUUACAAUACCUUUUAUCUGAUUUAUGGUUUGCAGAGAUUUUCCCCAGUCAAUAGUUUGCCUGUUCAUUUUGUUUGUCUGUGCAGAACAUUUU
ensembl:snRNA U2 U2 spliceosomal RNA